CGCCUCGCGACGACGCAUGGGGCGAGAAGACCUGACUUGCUCCUCGGUGUGCUUCUGCAACGGCAACGCGCGCAAGGUGAGCUGCUCCGUUCCCGGCCUGACACGUUUCCUUGGCUUUAACGGUUUGAAGGAGCCUCUCUUCAGUGGCACUUUCAUGAUUGGAACCGACGCGCAGCCAAGCAGAACACCAAGUCUACGCAGCAGAGCUUUCGCUUGUCCA